UAGUUGCAUCUCAGAGCAAAAGCCAGGGUCCGCAGAGAGCUUCCAAAGCAUCAGAGGGAUGUAAUUGAGAGACCAAGUGCUAUGGGUUGCUCCCCCUCCGCCCUGAGUCGGGUGGUUCGGUCCCUGUUUGUUUGUUUGUGUUUUUCCACCUGGAGUGCUGGGGGUGUGUUCAGUAGGUCAAGGGGCGUGGCAGAGUCUUCACUGCACAGCCAAUCUUCGCAGCUGCAGCUCAUCCACAUGAUUCACUCCAGCAAUAUUUAAACCCGGGCUGAUCACCUCUUCGGCGCCAGUUCGUUAUCUACUACCCAUGAGACCUGCUGCUUCCUCUGCUGCGCCUACUAGCUUCCAGCCUCACCACCCAGCCUUCACCUCCACCUACGAACACCAUCAGUACACUCCUCUCCACCUGUUCACCUCGUGUCCAGUAACCACUCGGACUCUUCGCCGUCAGCACUCCUCCAGCUUCGGACCUGCCAGGAGUUUCCCAGCCCUGACCCUGCCUACAAAGUACUCUCUGAGUACCCUGUUUCUCCAUUAAAACCUUUUGAACCUA